rnacentral:rRNA from 1 species
GAUGAACGCUGGCGGCGUGCCUAAUACAUGCCAGUCGAGCGAACGGACGAGAAGCUUGCUUCUCUGAUGUUAGCGGCGGACGGGUGAGUAACACGUGGAUAACCUACCUAUAAGACUGGGAUAACUUCGGGAAACCGGAGCUAAUACCGGAUGAUAUUUUGAACCGCAUGGUUCAAAAGUGAAAGAUGGUCUUGCUGUCACUUAUAGAUGGAUCCGCGCUGCAUUAGCUAGUUGGUAAGGUAACGGCUUACCAAGGCAACGAUGCAUAGCCGACCUGAGAGGGUGAUCGGCCACACUGGAACUGAGACACGGUCCAGACUCCUACGGGAGGCAGCAGAAGGAAAUCUUCCGCAAUGGGCGAAAGCCUGACGGGGCAACGCCGCGUGAGUGAUGAAGGUCUUCGGAUCGUAAACUCUGUUAUUAGGGAAGAACAUAUGUGUAAGUAACUGUGCACAUCUUGACGGUACCUAAUCAGAAAGCCACGGCUAACUACGUG